GCAGCCAUCAUUUAAAGAAAGCGUAAUAGCUCACUAGUCGAGUCGGCCUGCGCGGAAGAUGUAACGGGGCUCAAACCAGGCACCGAAGCCGCGGAUUCAUACUUAUGUAUGAGUGGUAGGGGAGCGUUCUGUAAGUCUGCGAAGGUGUAUCGAGAGGUAUGCUGGAGAUAUCAGAAGUGCGAAUGCUGACGUAAGUAACGAUAAAGGG
rnacentral:rRNA from 1 species